AUUGAACGCUGGCGGCAGGCCUAACACAUGCAAGUCGAACGAGUGGCGGACGGGUGAGUAAUGUCUGGGAAACUGCCCGAUGGAGGGGGAUAACUACUGGAAACGGUAGCUAAUACCGCAUACCAUCAGAUGUGCCCAGAUGGGAUUAGCUGGUAGGUGGGGUAACGGCUCACCUAGGCGACGAUCCCUAGCUGGUCUGAGAGGAUGACCAGCCACACUGGAACUGAGACACGGUCCAGACUCCUAAGGGAGGCAGCAGGGGGGAUUAUUGCACAAUGGGCGAAAGCCUGAUGCAGCCAUGCAGCGUGUGUGAAGAAGGCCUUCGGGUUGUAAAGCACUUUCAGCGGGGAGGCGUUACACGCAGAAGAAGCACCGGCUAACUCCGUGCCAGCAGCCGCGGUAAUUC
rnacentral:rRNA from 1 species